GACGAACGCUGGCGGCGUGCUUAACACAUGCAAGUCGAACGGAAAGGCCCUGCUUUUGUGGGGUGCUCGAGUGGCGAACGGGUGAGUAACACGUGAGUAACCUGCCCUUGACUUUGGGAUAACUUCAGGAAACUGGGGCUAAUACCGGAUAGGAGCUCCUGCUGCAUGGUGGGGGUUGGAAAGUUUCGGCGGUUGGGGAUGGACUCGCGGCUUAUCAGCUUGUUGGUGGGGUAGUGGCUUACCAAGGCUUUGACGGGUAGCCGGCCUGAGAGGGUGACCGGCCACAAUGGGACUGAGAUACGGCCCAGACUCCUACGGGAGGCAGCAGUGGGGAAUAUUGCACAAUGGGCGGAAGCCUGAUGCAGAGACGCCGCGUGCGGGAUGACGGCCUUCGGGUGGGAAACCGCUUUCGCCUGUGACGAAGCGUGAGUGACGGUAAUGGGUAAAGAAGCACCGGCUAACUACGUG
rnacentral:rRNA from 1 species